UACGAAGGGGGGCUAGCGUUGCUCGGAAUCACUGGGCGUAAAGGGUGCGUAGGCGGAUCUUUAAGUCAGGGGUGAAAUCCUGGAGCUCAACUCCAGAACUGCCUUUGAUACUGAGGAUCUCGAGUUCGGGAGAGGUGAGUGGAACUGCGAGUGUAGAGGUGAAAUUCGUAGAUAUUCGCAAGAACACCAGUGGCGAAGGCGGCUCACUGGCCCGAUACUGACGCUGAGGCAUGAAAGCGUGGGGAGCAAACAGG
rnacentral:rRNA from 1 species